GACGAACGCUGGCGGCGUGCUUAACACAUGCAAGUCGAACGGAAAGGCCCUGCUUUUGUGGGGUGCUCGAGUGGCGAACGGGUGAGUAACACGUGAGUAACCUGCCCUUGACUUUGGGAUAACUUCAGGAAACUGGGGCUAAUACCGGAUAGGAGCUCCUGCUGCAUGGUGGGGGUUGGAAAGUUUCGGCGGUUGGGGAUGGACUCGCGGCUUAUCAGCUUGUUGGUGGGGUAGUGGCUUACCAAGGCUUUGACGGGUAGCCGGCCUGAGAUGGUGACCGGCCACAUUGGGACUGAGAUACGGCCCAGACUCCUCCGGGAGGCAGUAGUGGGGAAUAUUGCACAAUGGGCGGAAGCCUGAUGCAGCAACGCCGCGUGCGGGAUGACGGCCUUCGGGUUGUAAACCGCUUUCGCCUGUGACGAAGCGUGAGUGACGGUAAUGGGUAAAGAAGCACCGGCUAACUACGUG
rnacentral:rRNA from 1 species